AGCAGUCGCCGCGGGAACACGGAGGGUGCAAGCGUUAAUCGGAAUUACUGGGCGUAAAGCGCACGCAGGCGGUCUGACAAGUCAGAUGUGAAAUCCCCGGGCUUAACCUGGGAACUGCAUUUGAAACUGUCAGGCUGGAGUCUUGUAGAGGGGGGUAGAAUUCCAGGUGUAGCGGUGAAAUGCGUAGAGAUCUGGAGGAAUACCGGUGGCGAAGGCGGCCCCCUGGACAAAGACUGACGCUCAGGUGCGAAAGCGUGGGGAGCAAACAGGAUUAGAUACCCCGGUAGUACCUGUCUCUUAUAA
rnacentral:rRNA from 1 species